rnacentral:misc_RNA from 1 species
AUCAAAGCUUUUGAAUGACAAAUAAUGAAAACCUAUACUCCAUUCAAAUAAUAUAUUUGCUUCGAAUACAAUCUCCUUGAAAAUUGGAGGCACAAAAAAUAUUGUAAGCAACAGUCAUAUGAAACUACAUAACUUAAACUAACAUAUUUACCUAAAAAACCACCCAUCGGGGUUUCAUUCUGGCCAACAAAAGCUUUGAUAUCUUUAUUCCCAUCACAGAAAGAACUGGGUUAAGUAAAAGAAAACCAUUUGAUUGAAAAAUUGAUCAAUGAGAACCAAUCUAACGAUCACUACUUAAAAAGGCUUUGACAAAAUUCAGGCUUCAUCUUCUCUUUGGUCACCCGGGGUUCCAGCAAGCCAACCCCACAUGCCACCAGAGCCCUGCCUAUGUUUUGCAUUUAAGGCAGCUUGUUCAGAAGCUGCCUUUUGCCGCUGCAGGAGUUCUAGCUCUUUUUGCAGCGUCUCCAUUGUUUGAAGCUUUUGUCUUAGUUCUGCAACAUCAACCUCUAGUUUGAAACAUCUGGACUGCUCAGCAGCAAGCUGGCCACGCACAGAUUGGAGCUCCUUGUAAAGAUCAGUGUUACGAGUCUCAGCUUCAGCUAAUUCUUGCUUUAGUUGGAUAGUUUGUGAUUUCUCCUUGCUAAGAGAGGAUUCCAGUUCUUCUUUUUCCGACUUCAAAGUUGCUAUAAGAUGUUCACUGGAUACUUCACCCUUAGAUUUCAUGGGCUCUGGAUCAACAUUAUCCAUAACAAUUUCUCUUAUUUUGCCUUCUUGGCCUGCUUCAAACUCCAAUUCCA